UACGUAGGCAGCGAGCGUUGUUCGGAGUUACUGGGCGUAAAGCGCACGUAGGCGGAUCUUUAAGUCAGGGGUGAAAUCCCGAGGCUCAACCUCGGAACUGCCUUUGAUACUGGGGAUCUCGAGUCCGGAAGAGGUUGGUGGAACUCCGAGUGUAGAGGUGAAAUUCGUAGAUAUUCGGAAGAACACCAGUGGCGAAGGCGGCCAACUGGUCCGGUACUGACGCUGAGGUGCGAAAGCGUGGGGAGCAAACAGG
rnacentral:rRNA from 1 species